GAGUUUGAUCUUGGCUCAGAUUGAACGCUGGCGGCAUGCCUUACACAUGCAAGUCGAACGGCAGCACGGGAGCUUGCUCCUGGUGGCGAGUGGCGAACGGGUGAGUAAUGCAUCGGAACGUAUCCUGGAGUGGGGGAUAACGUAGCGAAAGUUACGCUAAUACCGCAUAUUCUGUGAGCAGGAAAGCGGGGGACCUUCGGGCCUCGCGCUCUUGGAGCGGCCGAUGUCGGAUUAGCUAGUUGGUGAGGUAAAGGCUCACCAAGGCGACGAUCCGUAGCAGGUCUGAGAGGAUGAUCAGUCACACUGGAACUGAGACACGGUCCAGACUCCUACGGGAGGCAGCAGUGGGGAAUAUUGGACAAUGGGCGAAAGCCUGAUCCAGCCAUGCCGCGUGUGUGAAGAAGGUCUUCGGAUUGUAAAGCACUUUAAGUUGGGAGGAAGGGCAGUAAGUUAAGUACCUUGCUGUUUUGACGUUACCGACAGAAUAAGCACCGGCUAACU
rnacentral:rRNA from 1 species